CCCUGGGUUAGUCGGGACCUAAGGCGAGGCCGAAAGGCGUAGUCGAUGGACAACUGGUUGAUAUUCCAGUACUAGAUAUGAUCGUGAUGGAGGGACGCAGUAGGCUAAGAGAUGCCAGUUAAUGGAUUCUGGUCUAAGCAGUGAGGUGUGAGAUGUGUCAAAUGCAUUUCUCUCUAACAUUGAGCUGUGAUGGGGAAGCAACUACGGUUGCUAACUCUCUGAUGUCACACUGCCAAGAAAAGCUUCUAGCGUAAAGUCAUAUCUACCCGUACCGCAAACCGACACAGGUAGUCGAGGCGAGUAGCCUCAGGUGAUCGAGAGAACUCUCGUUAAGGAACUCGGCAAAAUAGCCCCGUAACUUCGGGAGAAGGGGUGCUGGUGUAAAAGCCAGCCGCAGUGAAUAGGCCCAAGCAACUGUUUAU
rnacentral:rRNA from 1 species